CGGUAAUGCUGGGGACUCUAAAGGAACUGCCUACGCAAGUAGUGAGGAAGGCGGGGAUGACGUCAAAUCAGCACGGCCCUUACGUCCAGGGCUACACACGUGCUACAAUGGCCGAUACAGAGGGCAGCUACCUGGUGACAGGAUGCAAAUCUCCAAAGUCGGUCUCAGUUCGGAUCGGAGUCUGCAACCCGACUCCGUGAAGUUGGAUUCGCUAGUAAUCGCGCAUCAGCCAUGGCGCGGUGAAUACGUUCCCGGGCCUU
rnacentral:rRNA from 1 species